rnacentral:rRNA from 1 species
AACGAACGCUGGCGGCGUGCCUAACACAUGCAAGUCGAACGAGAAAGGUCGCAAGACUGAGUACAGUGGCGCACGGGUGAGUAAUACAUAGGAAUCUUCCCUUUAGUGAAGAAUACCCCUGGAGAAAUCCAGGCUAAUACUGCAUAAGCCCAGAAAUGGGGAAAGGUGGCCUCAAGCUACCGCUGAAGGAUGAGCCUGUGUCCUAUUAGUUAGUUGGCAGGGUAAUGGCCUACCAAGACAAAGAUGGGUAUCCGGCCUGAGAGGGUGUUAACGGACACGACUGGAACUGAAACACGGUCCAGACUCCUACGGGAGGCAGCAGUGGGAAUAUGCACAAUGGGCGCAAAGCCUGAUGC